CUAACACAUGCAGUCGAGCGGUAGCACAGAAGAGCUUGCUCUUUCGGGUGACGAGCGGCGGACGAGGAUGAGUAAUGUCUGGGAAACUGCCUGAUGGAGGGGGAUAACUACUGGAAACGGUAGCUAAUACCGCAUAACGUCGCAAGACCAAAGUGGGGGACCUUCGGGCCUCAUGCCAUCAGAUGUGCCCAGAUGGGAUUAGCUAGUAGGUGAGGUAAUGGCUCACCUAGGCGACGAUCCCUAGCUGGUCUGAGAGGAUGACCAGCCACACUGGAACUGAGACACGGUCCAGACUCCUACGGGAGGCAGCAGUGGGGAAUAUUGCACAAUGGGCGCAAGCCUGAUGCAGCCAUGCCGCGUGUAUGAAGAAGGCCUUCGGGUUGUAAAGUACUUUCAGCGAGGAGGAAGGCAGUUAAGGUUAAUAACCUUGGCGAUUGACGUUACUCGGCAGAAGAAGGCAGCCGGCGUAACUCCGUGCCAGCAGCGCGCGGCAAUACGGGAGGGUUGCAAAGCGUUAAUCGGAAUUACUGGGGCGUAAAGGCGCACGCAGGCGGUCUUUGAUCAGAGUCCGGGAUGGUGUAAAUCCCCCCGGUGCUCAACCUGGGGAAACUGCGUUCGAAACUGGGAGGGUAGAGGUU
rnacentral:rRNA from 1 species